UUAAUCUGUUUAUUAUUUUUAUACCCGAAGGCCUGAGGUUGCAGUUCAAGUUGUUAAACCAAGCUGUGGCAUCUUUUAUGCUCCAUCCCACUACAGUGAAGAUACCGUGUGAAGGAGCGUUUUUGGCAGCCAAGUCCACGAAAUCGCUUUGGGGUAUGCCAGUGUGGCUGGGUAUGUAAUGGAUUUCAACCGCCACUAGUUGAGGAUGAUUGGCAAUUUUCUUUCUUAUGUUGCAGCUUAUGUAUGAUGUAAAUAUAACUUUGUUUUGUUUUGA